GAUGAACGCUGGCGGCGUGCCUAAUACAUGCAAGUCGAACGAGGUGCUUUUGUAGCAAUACGAGAGUAUCCUAGUGGCGAACGGGUGAGUAACGCGUUGGUGACCUACCCCAAAGUGUGGGAUAACAGUUCGAAAGGACUGCUAAUACCGCAUGUGGUUAUCAGGUUUAGAAACUGAUAACUAAAGGAGCAAUUCGCUUUGGGAGGGACCUGCGUCCCAUCAGCUAGUUGGUGAGGUAACGGCUCACCAAGGCUACGACGGGUAGGGGACCUGAGAGGGUGACCCCCCACAAUGGAACUGAAACACGGUCCAUACACCUACGGGUGGCAGCAGUAGGGAAUAUUGCACAAUGGGCGAAAGCCUGAUGCAGCAACGCCGCGUGUGCGAUGAAGGCCUUCGGGUCGUAAAGCACUUUUCUGAGAGAUGAGCAAGGACAGUAUCUCAGGAAUAAGUCUCGGCUAACUACGUGCCAGCAGCCGCGGUAAAACGUAGGAGGCGAGCGUUAUCCGGAUUCACUGGGCGUAAAGCGCGUGCAGGCGGUUCGGUAAGUUGGGUAUGAAAUCUCCCGGCUCAACUGGGAGAGGUUAUCCAAUACUACCGGACUUGAGAGUGAUAGAGGAAGAUGGAAUUCCCGGUGUAGUGGUGAAAUGCGUAGAUAUCGGGAGGAACACCAGUGGCGAAAGCGAUCUUCUGGAUCAUUUCUGACGCUCAGACGCGAAAGCUAGGGUAGUAAACGGGAUUAGAGACCCCGGUAAUCCUAGCCGUAAACGAUGUAAACUUGGCGUCGGUGGCUUAAACACCAUCGGUGCCGCAGCUAACGCGAUAAGUUUACCGCCUGGGGACUACGAUCGCAAGAUUA
rnacentral:rRNA from 1 species